AGAGUUUGAUCCUGGCUCAGAUUGAACGCUGGCGGCAGGCCUAACACAUGCAAGUCGAGCGGUAACAGAUCCAGCUUGCUGGAUGCUGACGAGCGGCGGACGGGUGAGUAAUGCAUAGGAAUCUGCCCGAUAGGUGGGGGAUAACCUGGGGAAACCCAGGCUAAUACCGCAUACGUCCUACGGGAGAAAGGGGGCUCCGGCUCCCGCUAUGGGAUGAGCCUAUGUCGGAUUAGCUAGUUGGUGAGGUAACGGCUCACCAAGGCGACGAUCCGUAGCUGGUCUGAGAGGAUGAUCAGCCACAGUCGGGACUGAGACACGGCCCGAACUCCUACGGGAGGCA
rnacentral:rRNA from 1 species